GUGAGGAUGUGUGCCGCAACGGAGCUGUGAAGUGACCCCUGUCGGAUCUGA
rnacentral:snoRNA from 1 species